CGUGUACUCCCUUCAUUCGGAAUUACUUGUCGCAGAAAUGGAUGUAUCCAGACGUAUUUUAGUUCUAGAUACAUCUGUUUUCGAGACAAGUAACCGAAUGAAGGGAGUACGUA
rfam:Triticum aestivum genome assembly, contig: Triticum_aestivum_CS42_TGACv1_scaffold_499444_6BL